GAGUUUUGAUCAUGGCUCAGGACGAACGCUGGCGGCGUGCUUAACACAUGCAAGUCGAACGAGAAGAGAUGAGAAGCUUGCUUCUUAUUAAUUCGAGUGGCAAACGGGUGAGUAACGCGUAAGCAACCUGCCCUUCAGAUGGGGACAACAGCUGGAAACGGCUGCUAAUACCGAAUACGUUCUUUUUGUCGCAUGGCAGAGGGAAGAAAGGGAGGCUCUUCGGAGCUUUCGCUGAAGGAGGGGCUUGCGUCUGAUUAGCUAGUUGGAGGGGUAACGGCCCACCAAGGCGACGAUCAGUAGGGGUUCUGAGAGGAAGGUCCCCCACAUUGGAACUGAGACACGGUCCAAACUCCUACGGGAGGCAGCA
rnacentral:rRNA from 1 species